GUAAGCGCCGUAGGGUUGCGUCGAGGGGCUUUUGGGACGCGGUGCUUUGUGUUUCAGGACUUUCCAACGGGCGUCCCCAGCCUCGGUUUGCAGGUGUGGGGUCUGCGCUCGGCCGGGACAGCGAACGCCAGCCUGGUCCCCGGGGUGGGCAGGGCGGCCCCCUUCUCUGGCCCGCGGGUUCCUGUUUGCCCGGCCUUCCCCCACCUUCCUAGCGGUUCCACGUCCCUUUCACGUUGCAUUUCGUGAGCGUUUGCCAUGAGCAACGCCCGCGCACGUGCUUUAUCUUAUCUAAUCUGCACAACAGCCUUUGACAUGGGAGUUGUCUCAUUUGUGUAUGAAAAAAAGAAAACUGAAGCUCAGAGCGUAAUUUGCCCCGGUGGCCCAACCUGCGUGGGAAUCUAGGGCAUCUCAGUCCCCACUAUGCCUUGAGGUUCCCAGUUGGCUCCCUGACCAGCAGCAUUUGCAGCUUCAGGGAGCUCGCUGGAAAUGCAGAUGUAGGGCGUACCCCAGACCUUCCAAAUGGAAACUGGAGUGGGGUGCAGGGAGGCAGUCUGUGGUCAACAAGCCCUGGAUGAGUUUUAGGCGCGCUAAGGACCUCUUCCUGCACAGCCUUUUUAUGGGGUUGUGGUCUCCAUCUCCUGCUCUGGCCUGCUGCCCGGCUCCCUCUGCUCUAGCCUCCAUGCAAAGCCAGAGUCCUCCUAACACACAGCAUGGCUUUUGCCAAACGGUGCUGUGUCCGCACUCUGGAUCCGAACCGGCGAACCCCGGGCCGCUGAGAAGCAGAACAUGUGAAUUUAACUGCUGCGCCGCUGGGUUGGUCCCAACCUGAAACCUUUUUCUCUGGCCCUACUCGCCUCUCCAUCGUCUUCUCUCUGGUGAGGCAUUUUGAUUUUCACAUCCUGAGCUUUCUGCCUAGAACAUCCUCGUGUUAUUUCUUUGCUUAUUUAAUUCCUUUUAAUCUUUCUUAGCCUAAGGAUAAGUCCUUACAUAACUCUCUGUGUGAUUCUGGCACAUGUAAGUUUAUGGAAUGAACAAAUGCAUGAAUGAAUAAAUGACUAAAUAAGAAUACAGAAAAUGGGUUUUUAAAAAUUGCGGUAAGGGGCUGGCCCCGUGGCCGAGUGGUUAAGUUUGCGCGCUCCGCUGCAGGUGGCCCAGUGUUUCGUUGGUUCGAAUCCUGGGUGCGGACAUGGCACUGCUCAUCAAACCACGCUGAGGCAGCGUCCCACAUGCCACAACUAGAAGAACCCACAACGAAGAAUAUACAACUAUGUACCGGGAGCUUUGGGGAGAAAAAAGGAAAAAAUAAAAUCUUUAAAAAAAAAAUAAAAAAAUAAAAAAUAAAAAUUGCGGUAAAAUACACGUUACAUAAAAUUUACCAUCUUAAGCAUUUUUUUGGUGUACAGUUAAGUGGCAUUAAGUAUAUUCACAUUGUUGCACAGCCAUCACCACUGUCUCCAGAACAUUAUUCAACUUGUGAAACAAACUCUGGACCCAUUAACCACUGGCUCCCUAUUUCCCUGUCCCCCCCAGGCCCUGGCGACCACCCUUCUGAUUUCUGUCUCUCUGAAGCUCUAGAUGCUCCAUCUCAGUGGAAUCAUACAGGAUCUAUUUCGCUUACAGGGCUUAUUUCACUUAGCAUAAUGUCCUCAAGCUUCCACGUUGUUGCUUGUGUCAGAAUCUCCUCCCCUUUAUGGUUGAAGAAUGUUCUAUUAGACCACUUGUUGUUUAUCCUUUCAUACAGAGAAUGGGUUUUUGUCCAGGAGUUUAAUAUUCAGCUUUGUAUGAAAUAGCAAAAGAGGGGGCCGGCCCUGUGGCCGAGUGGUUAGGGUCGUGCGCUCCGAUUUGGCAGCCCAGGGUUUCACUGGUUUGGAUCCUGGGCAUGGACAUGGCACUGCUCAUCAAGCCGUGCUGAGGCAGCAUCCCACAUGCCACAACUGGAAGGACCCACAACUAAAAAAAAAUAUACAACCAUGGACCGGGGGGCUUUGGGGAGAAAAAGGAAAAAAAAUAAAAUCUUUAACAAAAAAAGAAGAAAUGGCAAAAGACUGGAAGCCAUCUCAAUGUCCGCGUGUAGGGGUCAGUGAUACAAAACAGGCCUAUCCUUCCAGUGGGAUCCAGUGUAGCAUCGAUCGAGUGGGGCCUCUCCAUCUGCACUGAGAUGGAACACUCACCAAAACAGAAUAUUAAGGUAUUGACAACUGUGUAGACCUGUUUUACCUUUGGUAUAUGACCAAAAAAAAAAAAAAAUCCCCAAACAACAACUAGGGGCUGGGUAUAGAGGUACAUGCUUUCCCUAGUUCCCAGAGGCUGCCCCUGGGGGAGGGAACCACAGGAUGUCGUUUUCUCUCUGUGUUCUUUUGUAUCUUUUGUACCAGGCAUUGCAUAUUUCCUAUUGAAAAAAAUGUUGGAAAGAAUGCAAAUACCCUGUCCAGAGGGAGAAGUGAUUAAUUUCCUGCAGAUCUUACACAGGGAGCGAUGCUUUGUGCUUACAAUUACUUAUUAAAUCAAGUCAGCAAGAAAGGCCUAAAUUUAAUUAAACUUGGUUGGUUAAUUCUCUUGCCGCUCAGUAAAGAUUAGCCACAGAUCUGAUUCUUUGACCACCCCGGGGAUUUUUAAUAACCGCAGCUUAUCAACAGGAUAGCGAUCAGAUAUGUGCAGUACCCAGAAAUUGACCUGAAAAAGCUCCAGCCAGGUGAACUGAAGGACAGAGCGUGGGCUUUAUCCACCGGGCCUCUCAGUCGCUGUUCAAGUGCAGGCUUUUGAGUGGCUCCUCCUUGACAGCAGUCUAAAGCAGCUGGGAAAACUGCGUUCAGAUGAAUUUGAUGACCUUGUCAGAAUAAAUGCUUAUGUCUCAGCGCAAAGAGGCCGGUGUCUCCAGAUCAGGGGUGAUGGACGGGCCUUCCCAUAGGAUGAAUGUUUGUUGAUUACUGAAGCAUCUGAGUGAGCCACGGUCGUUUGGGUUACGGUCUCUCGUCAGUGCCAGUAGCGAUGGAAGAGUAUCUGGCCAUCUUUCAGCUGCGUCUCACCCCAUUAAAAGCUGUGAGAUUAUCAGAUCCCCUCUCAGAAGACAGUAAAAUCAUGCUGGCACAUUAACACCAUGACAGACGUGCCCUGGACAUUUGUCAUCAGUGACAAAUAAUUUUUCUGUUUCAAAUAUUCCAGUUUAAUAAACAGGUAAUCAUAAUGUUCCUGACUUCUGAAGAAAUCUGCUUGGAAAUUCUACUGUGUAAUCAAUGGAGCUAGAAUGACCCUGGGGAACGGCUCAUGUUUCUGUAGCUCCUUCUUACCUCUCCUCACUCCUCAUUGUCCUCUAAACGCCCUGCUCAUCAGGCACUGAAGCUGUUCAGGAUGUGGUCCUAUCCCAUCUCUCUGUCUUCAUUUCUUCACACCCCGCACCUUUCAUAGUAGCUCCUCCAGCUUCCUAAACCAUGCUGAGCUUUCUGAGCACACUGCAGUUUCUUAUUUCUGACCUUUGUGCUGUUCUGUCUCAAAUGCUAGAAUGUUCUUCCUUGCUCUGCUUUGCCCAAGCAGCUCUUUCUCCAGAGCCCUGCUGAGGUGUGACUUCUUCCUGGGUGUUCCUUGCCAUUCUUGGUGAGGGCAAGCAUCCCUCCAAGGGCUUUCAUGGCUCCUCUCAUGGCCGUUUGGGUGCUGUGCCUCCCCCCUGCAUUGUAAUUGCUUGUUUAUAUUUGCUGGACUUUGAGCUCCUCUGGGGAGUGGAUCUCAGACUCCUCCGGGGCAUCGGCCUCACCUGGAGGGCGUGUUAAGGCUCAGCAUGCUGGGCCCAGAGUUCCUGAUUCAGUAGGUGAGGAGUGGAGCCUGAGAAGGUCAUUUCUUCAGAAGCUCCCAGUUGAUGCUGAUGAUGCUGGUCUGGGGGGCUGCGCCGCGAGGACCCCCGCUCUGGGGCAAGGACCGGGUUUGCCUUCUUCAUCUCUGUAUCCCUGGGAUCUGGGCCGUCUUGGUAGUUGAUAGUCAGGAGGUACCCGUUAGUGUUGAACGAAUGAGUGCCGUCGAAGAGGGUUAUCGUGGGUCCUGUGGACCCCAGGUGUUUCCAUAAUAUGCAGAGGGAAAUCUGAAUGCUUUCAGAAGAUUGAUGAUGAAAGUAGUGGGGGAAGAGGCAGGGCCUGGCACGCAGGAAGAGCUCAAGAUCCAUACAGAAGGGGUUUGCCAGAUGCUGGUUGAUGAGUGAACAGAGAAACAAGCUCAAAGCACUUUAGAGGUCGCUUAGCUUGGAUCGUCCCUGGCAGUUUACAGAGGAGAAAACAGAGGCAGAGUGAUUUGCCCGGGGUCAGAGUCAGGAUGCAACCUGGAGGUUUUGACUUCUGUCCAAGGCUCUUUCCACCCCCUCAAAGGGCAGCAGCUGGGUGGAGGAGGGAACCCUGCCUCCCUUGAUGCCAUGUUGGCCCUAGGCUAGGAAGGGCAGUGUUCAGUGUCCCUCACAGCAGACGUCUCUGCCAAUCACUGAGCAUCAAGAUCUUCUGUUCCAGCUUCUGAAGCUUCGUUCAUUUUCCUUGUUCAUGGUAGAACUUCAAAAAAAAAAAAGAAAGUGUGUGGGAUUGAAUUGAAUCGAGUUGAAUUUCUCUGGGCCUUGAUUGCUCCAUCUGUAAAACGGGAGCGAUCCUUCAUUUAUUCACUCGUUCAUUGAACAAAUGUUUGUAGAGCCUCUGUGGAUCCUGUCUGGGCCUACAGUGGACACUGAGGCUGCAAAGAUGGCCAUAGUGAGAGCUCUGCACACACACAGCUCGGAGAACCUCAACGAUCCGUCAACAACGCCUGAUCUUUUUUCGCUUGCUGGGGCCUGCACGGGAGCAGGGACACGGGACUUGGGAGAACACAGCUGAGGGCCUGUUUGUUUGGCUUGGGACAGAGAUAAAGAAAGUUCACAGGGGACGUGGCCUUUGAGCUGCCUUCUGAAGGAUAACUAGGUGCGUGGGGUUUAUUGGCCUUGCUGCUCUUUAGAGAUUGCUCUUGGCUGACGAUGCCCUUUGUAUGACAGGCCUUGUUGGGAGCAGGUGCAGAGAUUAUUUCAGAGCUCGAGGUUUGUGCUGCUUUAAUGUGAUGAUGCUUCCUCUGGCCAAGCCCUUGCAAUCCCUAUUUCGACUCCUGCCCCUAGUGUGGGGUUGCCAGACUUAGCAAGUAAAAAUACAAGACUCUAGUCCAGUUAGAACUUCAGAUAAUAUUUGCAUGAGACAUUCUUGUACCAAAAAUUUAUUUGUUGUUUAUCUGAAAUUCUGCUUUGACUGGGACACCUGUAUUUUAUCUAGCAAACCUACCCCAGUAGCACAUGCCACCAAAAUCUCGCUGCUGGAGUCCCUUUUCCCCAGCCGGCUGCCUUCUUGCGCAGAGAACAUUCAGGAUGGCUGAAGCCCUGACACUUUCCUCAGCACCACUGGCCCAUGGGAAAGCUUACACAUCUUCGUCACUUCAGACGGCGAGAGAGGAGGCUACCUCGUGGCUGCUUUCUCUUCUCUCCCAUCCCGGAAACUCCAACCAACCCUCCUGUUUCCUGCCUCCCCAACCCCCCCACCACUUUCAGCAUUCUCUGGAUGGGAAGCACACAUCAGCGUCUGUUUGCAGACAGACCUCAGACUCUAGGGGACGUGCGUUACACUUUCCCAAGAAUGCUCAGGCUUUGGCAAUAUAAGAGAAAAGCCCAUAAGCUGGUGUAAUAACAUAAGGUGGUAAGCAUACACGUGUUUCCCAGCUCUGUCUGCUGAGAGGGCAUGGAAGAGUGACACCCAGUAGCAAUGAGCAUACUCUAAGCCCACAUCUUAGUUUCUAAAUACCACUCGCCAAUAAAAGGAACUAGGACUCCUUGAAAAAAUGGCUGAUUCCAGGAUUGGGGCAGGGAAGAUGCAAGAUGAGCCUGGAGCAUCUUGUAAUAACAAAGAAAUGGCCUCCAAACAAAACUAAAAACACAAAAUGGAUGAGGGGGCCGGCCCCGUGGCGGAGUGGUUGAGUUCGUGUGCCCUGCUUUCGAGGCCUGGCUUUUCGUAGUUUCGGAUCCUGGGUGCAGACAUGGCACUGCUCAUCAAGCCAUGCUGAGGUGGUGUCCCACAUGCCACAACCAGAAGGUCCUACAACUAGAACAUACAACUGUAUACUGGGGGCCUUUGGGGAGGAGAAAAAGAAAAAAAAGAAGAAAAUUGGCAGCAGAUGUUAGCUCAGGUGCCAAUCUUUAAAAAGAAAGAAAAGAUGGGGACAUGUCCAAAGGACCUAGGAGGCAAUCUGAAAGCUCCCAAUGGCCAAAUCUGGAACAAUUUGAGCAAGAAAAUAAAUAAUGCUAGUAUUAGAUUAUAACUCAAAGAAGAUAAAUAUCCAUCAGCCUAUACAGAUGUAAACAAAUGAUUGAAUGACUAAAUAGGAGAGAGAAAGAAAUCUUCCAUACAGAAUAAUUCCAAACAAUAUAUGUAGAUAUCUCUCCUGCUAGGAGGUGGAACUUAAUUUUUCUCUCCUUGAGUGUGGGCUGGACGUGGUGACUCACUUUCAAACAGCUGAGUGUGGGGAAAUAACAGCUUUACCAGUGAAGAAGCCUGGCUGACACCCCCUUAAGCAGGUGAUCAAGGCUAACAUCACCAGUGGUACAUCAUGGUGACAUCACAUACUCCUGAUAUGAUGCAGUGAGAAUGGCGCUUCACUUCUGUGAUAUUCUUCCCCCAAACUCUUAAAUCCAGUCUAUCAUGAGAAAACAUCAGACAAAAUCCAAUGCAGGGACAUUCUACAAAAUGGCUGACCAGUAUUCUUCAAGGGGUCAAGGUUAUAAAAAGCCAGAGGAAAGACUGAGAAAGUCGCUGGUUAGAGACGACUGAGGAGACACGGUGACUAAAUGCAGUGUGGCAUCCUGGAUGGGAUCCUGGGAUGAAGAAAGGACGUUAGUGGAAAAGCUGGAGAAAUCCAUGGUAACAGUAAUGUUGGUUUCCGAAUCUUGAGAAAUGACCACAGUAAUGUAAGAUGUUAACCUUAGGAGAAGCUGGAUGGGAGUAUAUGGGAACUUAUUAUCUUAAUCAAUUAAGAUAAUAUCUUAAUUAAUAUCUUAUAUUAUCUUUGCAACUUUCCCAUGUCUGAUAUGAUUCCAAAAUAAAAAAGCAAAACAAACAAGUAAGCAAAAACCAUAAGGUGGUUUAAACACAUAAGGUUUUAUUUUCUUUCAUGUAAAUGAAGUCCAGGGGUAAGCAGUCCAUGGUGGCUCCAUGAUCAUCAAGGAUCUGGGCUUCUUGUAUAUUUCUAUGCUGCCGUCUUUAAGCACUUCAUGUUAUGGUCCAGGAUGGCUGCCAGAACUCCAAACUUCCUGUCUACAUCCCAGACAACGUUUCCACUUCCACCGUGUCGGCCUGGACAUAUCUAGUUGCAAAGGAGGCUGGGAAAUGUAAUCUUUUUCUUGGUGCAUUGUGCACUGAGUAAAACAAAAGAUCUGUUGCUAGGGAAGAACUGUAUACUGCUUAGGCAUCUGGUCGUCAUUGAGCUUUCUGUUUCUGUGCAUCAGGUGGCCUGUGACUUUCUCAGCUCAGUUGUG
ensembl:lncRNA